GCAGGGGCUCGGAACCCGGCUGGCGGGGAGCGGGCCCCGGGAGCUCCCUUUCCGGGCAGGAGCCCAGACUGCAGGACCCUUUUGCGGACUUGCCUUAGCGCUACGGAGCGAUUCCUCUGAGUCUGGUCCUGAGCUCAGAGAGAGGGCUUCGCACUCGUUUCAUUUAAUCCUAACAGCAUUCCUGUGUAGUUGAAGUGUAGUUACUCCUUCCCCCAUUUUACUGAUGAGGAGACUGAGGCACAAUGUUGUGACUUGCCCGAGUCAGACAUCUAUUUCGUGGCGGAAACAGGUCUCAAACCCGAAUUUACACCUCAAAGCUACGCCAUCUAUCACUCCUAUCUCCCUCCCCUCCUGCCACAUUGCUUCAGGUUGGGGUGCGGAGGAAGGAAGGAGGAGUGAUGAUUGUGAAGGAAAAUGCUAAUAUUUCAGUUGCUGGUCAUGCACGCCUGGCCGCGCUGGAUUUCUAUUAGGCUGUUUAUUGCGCAGACUUCCCCGCCCCCUACUCCCACCUGCAGGUACUUUUCGUGGAUACUCAGCCCCUCUGCCAGGAUUUCCCUUGCUGUCUCAUAUCCGUCCACUUCAGAGCUAUCUUUUUUUGGAAAUCUUGGCCUAUGGCCUUGAUCCCGCCACUUUUUUUCUGAAUUGAGAAGGAUGACACUUGUCAUAUCUUGUCAUUCUUGGCUUCUUUCGUGCUAAUACAGAUGUAUAAUCUUGAGUGACAGUGAGAGAACUAAUUCCUCCAUAGGACCAACUGGAUAAAAGAGCUGCUUCUUUAUUGCUUUUUGCCUUAACCCGGUUCACACAGACUUACUGGAGAUGUUGUGGUUUGAACAAGGAAUGAAUCUGCAUUCUAUAGGUAGUCUGGCCUGCCUAAGGCUGUGAGGCCAGAGCUCAGUGUUCAGCCUCUGAGCAGAGAGCCGAAGGGGUGCUGUGUCAGAAUUCAUCUCAAAGUUUGACAAGGCAGGAUCUCUCUGGAGACAUUGAUCAACAAUAGUCAGGAACAAGCUUGAAAGGAAGACAAAUGGAAAAGACCAAAAUAAGCUGGUUUAUUCUCUCAGAAUUUUGCUUCAGCUAUUAAGGUUAUGGGAAAAUAUUCCACUGACCGGAGUGGUAAAAUGAUUUGGAUAACUUGGGGUCUUUUAAAAAAAUUCCACAUAUACACAUAUAUAUAAAUGUGCAUUCACCUUCAUGUUCUGGUACUAGCACUGUGUGUAGUAAAUGGAAUACACGGGUUCCUCCCUCGGAGACCUUAUAUUAACAAGAUAGACAUGGCAUCUUUUAAUUUUUAAAAAAUACAAGGUCUGGGUAAUGUGAACAAUAAUUUAUGUUAUUCCUGAGAGUAAUAAAAGUGAAAGUGAAAAAUGUAGUCAUGCCUUCAAGGAGUAAAUAUUUUAUGUUAUGUAUCUGCUCCUUAGGAGACAUCUGAUGUAGUAAUACCCACACUUUAAAAAUAAGUAAAAAUGAUCUUGCUUCACAGCCUUUUCUUUGUAGGGGCGUUUGUUUCACGUGUGGGGUAAAGUGUUGUGAAGCGGUAGUUACAGAAAGGCAGUGGCGGUGGGAGAUAAGGUUAGCAGGAGGACAAGGCAGAUGGGGAAACCUAAAUGUUAACAAUAAGACAAUUAAGUCAUAUAAUUUUUCCGUAUGUUCCGACGAGUGAGAAUGGAUGCCAGUACAAUGAAGGUCAAAUGGGUAUAGGAAGAUGCUACAAAAGGGUAUCUAUGGCUGCAGUUUCAAACUCAGAAGAGCACAGUUUUCCAGGAUAGGAUUUUGAUGGGCAAAAUCAAUAAUCCUUUGUUUGAGACAGUGAGAAGAGGGUGCACAGGCUGGCAGAAGGAGCUUGGGCAAGAGGGGAGCUAAGCUACAUAAGGAGACACAUAGUUGUGCCAACUUCUUAAGAAACAUUAGCUGAGGUAGGUUGAAUGAGAGAUUAAAUUGUGAGCAGCUUGGCAACUCCUCAUCUUGUUGGCUGGAGAGAUGCAGAGGCUCCACAUGUUUCCGCUAACUUGGAACGUGGCCAUGACCUCUCUCCAAUAGGAGCCUUCUUCACAUCAUCUAGGAAAAACUUGCCUUAUUCAUAAAAGAACCAGCACAGUAGUAAUAGAAGGAUACUAUAAGAAAGGAGAGAAACAAUGGGAAACAAGUGGCAGGUAAAGUACCCACACUAGGAAAAUGUUUUUACCUCAGCUGAAAUUAGGAGCCACUCCUGCCACCAUAAUGUCAGAGAACUUACGAAAAUAAGGAACUCCAAGCAGAGAUACAGAAGAUCAGGUAAAAUAAGGUCUGGUGACAAGAGAAAAUGGAACAACAGCAAGUAGAGCCCAGGAAAAUAGUGGAAGCUAAAACAAAAAUUAUUACAGAAUUAAAAGCCAUAAUGGAAAGAAUAAAAAUGAAUAUUAACUGCUGAAAACACAGUGAAAGAUAGGGAAGACAGAUUGAGAAAAUGAAAUGGAAAUAAAUAAUUAGAACAUAAUAGAUACAGAAAAUAAAGAUCUAACUUAGGUAUAAUUGGUGUCCCUGAAGAAAACCAAAGAAAUGAAACAAAACUCGUAUGUAGUUAACGACUUUUAUAGAAAUAAAGAUUUGAAGUUAUGAGUUCAAACUAUAUCUCACAAUUGGCACUGAAACAUUUCUUAGGGAAGUUUCUAUAGUUUAAAGAAUCUUUUGGACAUCCAGGCAAAACGCUUGAGGGAAAAGGAGAAAUUGGUGACAGGGUAAGGGAGCAAUGUCUAUAAAUCUGCGACUUUUAGUUUUAGGUCGUGUUACUGUAAAUACCCGAGAAUACGCUUAAGAAUAUGUAAGAUUUAUAUGGGGAAAAGUAUGCACUUUUUAAAAGAUAACUCAGUUUAUAAAAAUUGACGAUGUAUUAAGAAAGAAAAUUUUAAUUUAAGAGAAAUCAAUAGAUUGGAAAAAAUACUACAUAUCAAAACUUUUGGGGAGAUGAGGAAACUAAAGCCCAGAUAUGCUAAGUGACUUGCCUAAAGUGACAUGCUAAUAAUAGGGCCAGAACUGGAAUGCUGCCUGUCUCCAAAGUCUUAAAUAUAUACUGGUGUCAGAAAAAAAAAAUUAUGGGAAAAAAGAAGUGUUGAAGAACAGUGGGGAACACUUACCCUACCAGAUUAGAAUAAGCAUACUGGAAAUGGUAUAGUUGUAGCCAGAGGGGUUGGUAAAACAAAGAAUGUUCCAAAGCAGAUCUAAAUAUAUAUAGAAAUGUAGUAUAUGAUAAGAUAGAACCUUAAUUCAUUGGGGGAAAAAAUUACUAAAUCGACAUAAUCGUCUAUCUGACAGGAAUAUUUAGAACCAUCUAAUUCAUAUCAUAUUUGAAAAUUCCAGGUCAAAUAUCCAAAGACAAAUCUCACAAACAAUAAUAAAAGAAAACUGACUAGGAAUGUAAAGAGAGUGCUGCUACAAUUUUUUAAGACUACAGUAAAAAACGAUCCAAAUGAAAUUUAAAAAUAUGUUUUAAGGGAAAGCAGUACUAAACUUUAAGGAGUAGAAAACAAUAAUUUAAAAAUCAUGGAAGAAUUGAAAAUGUAGUCAAAGAUCUACCUCCAAAACAGAACCACCCUCACUUUUGUGGGUUAAUUUAACCAAAGGAAAUCUGUAACAAAUAAGGGAACAGUAGCCAUCUGUAAGAGUUCCUGCAAAUCAAUAUGAAAAAGAUACAACUCAGUGGAAAACAGCAAAUGUUUUAAGUUGGUGGUUCAGCAUUAUGGUGAAGAGCUUGGGUUGUAGGAUGGGACUGCUUAUAUUUAAGAUGCAAGAAGUUAACCUAUCUUUUACUUAGUAUCUUCUUCUGAAAGUGGGAAGAGUAAUAGCACCUACCUCAUGGAGGUGUCGAGGUAAUGCAUGUAAAAUGCAUGUAAAACAUGAAGCAUAAUGUUAUGACUUGGUCCAUCAUAAGUACUUAGAUAUGAACAGUUACUGUUACUCAGAAAUAAAAAUAGUAAACGAAUAUGCUCAGCCUCAAUAGUAAAAUGGUGAUGAAAUGCCUUUUUUCAUCAGAGUAGCAACAAUGUAAAAGAUUUAUUAUUUUCAGUGUUUUCAAAGGUAUGGGGAAAUUGACACUCAUAUACUGUUAAUGAAAGUACAUGGAAGCAACCUCUUUGUAGGCUAUUUGUCAGAAUCUAUUAACAUUUAAAAUGUAUGAUGCAACAAUUAUACUUCUAGCAAUCUCUCCAAUAAAAGCAUUUGCACGUGUACGAA